rnacentral:rRNA from 1 species
CUGUAUCCAGAGUACCGCCGGACACGUGAAACCCGGUGGGAAUAUGGGGGGACCAUCCUCCAAGCCUAAAUACUACUCGGUGACCGAUAGUGAAGAAGUACUGUGAAGGAAAGGUGAAAAGUACCCCUGACGGGGAGUGAAAAAGAACCUGAAACCUUGUGUUUACAAGCACCGAAAGCUCAUCAAAGAGCGAUCGGGUACCUUUUGUAGAAUGGUCCGGCGAGUGAAUGUAACCGGCGAGGUUAAGCACUUAAGGUGUGAAGCCGCAGCGAGAGCAAGUCUGAAUAGGGCGUAUGAAGUCGGUUGUAUUCGACCCGAAACCGGGUGACCUACCCAUGGUCAGGUUGAAGUAAAGGUAAAACUUUAUGGAGGACCGAACCGACUCCCGUUGAAAUGGUAGCGGAUGAACUGUGGGUAGCGGAGAAAUUCCAAUCGAACCCGGAGAUAGCUGGUUCUCUCCGAAAUAGCUUUAGGGCUAGCCUUGAAAUAGAUUACCGGAGGUAAAGCACUGAAUUGGCUAGGGGCCGAGAGGUUACUGAACCUUAUCAAACUAAGAAUGCCGGAUAAUCGUUUUUCAGGAGUCAGACAGUGGGAGAUAAGUUUCAUUGUCAAAAGGGAAACAGCCCAGACCCACAGCUAAGGUCCCCAAGUAUAGUUAAGUGGAAAAGGAUGUGGAAUUGCACAGACAACCAGGAUGUUGGCUUAGAAGCAGCCACUCAUUAAAAGAGUGCGUAAUAGCUCACUGGUCGAGUGACUCUGCGCCGAAAAUUUAACGGGGCUAAACUAUACACCGAAGCUUGGGAUACAUCUAAUGUAUGGUAGGAGAGCGUUCUGUAUGGGGAGAAGUCGUAGCGAAAGCGGCGGUGGACUAUACAGAAGUGAGAAUGCCGGAAUAAGUAGCGAGAAUUAAGUGAGAAUCUUAAUGGCCGAAAGUCUAAGGUUUUUGGAGGAAGGUUCGUCCGCUCCAAGUAAGUCGGGAGCUAAGGUCAGGCCGAAAGGCGUAGCCGAUGCACAUACGGUUGAUAUUCCGUAACCAUCUGUAAUUUAAGCAAAGGGACACUUCAAAAGGGUGUGACCCGGGCGUUGGUUGACCCGGGCGUAAGGGACCGAAAUUAGAGUAGGGAAGCACACUUGGCUGAAGGCGAGAAAAGCUUUGCGUAUAGAAACAGAUGCCCGUACCGCAAACCGACACAGGUGGACAGGAAGAGAAUUCUAAGGCCAGCGGGAGAAGGGUAGUUAAGGAACUCGGCAAAUUGACUCCGUAACUUCGGAAUAAGGAGUGCUCGAAAGAGCCGCAGAGAAUAGGCCCAGGCGACUGUUUAGCAAAAACACAGGUCUCUGCCAAAUCGAAAGAUGAAGUAUAGGGGCUGACACCUGCCCGGUGCCGGAAGGUUAAGAGGAGGAGUGAGAGCUCCGAAUUGAAGCCCCGGUAAACGGCGGCCGUAACUAUAACGGUCCUAAGGUAGCGAAAUUCCUUGUCGGGUAAGUUCCGACCCGCACGAAUGGUGUAA